rnacentral:lncRNA from 1 species
UGAGUUUAAGCUAAAAGCUUUUCCACAUUGAUUACAUACAAAGUGUUUCUCUCCUGUAUGGAUUUUCUUGUGUUUAUUAAGAUUUGAAUUAUUGUUAAAACGCUUUCCACAUUCACCACAUUCAUAGGGUUUCUCUCCAGUAUGAAUUUUUUUAUGUUGGUUAAGUUCCCAGUUAAGGCGAUAGGUCUUUCCACAUUCAUUACAUGCAAAGGGCCUCCCUAUAGAAUGAGUUUUCUGAUGUUUAGUAAAGUUUGACCGAUAUUUAAAGGCUUUUUCACAAGUCGUACAUUGGUAAGGUCUCUCUCCCGUAUGAGUUCCUUUAUGUUGUGUUAGAUCUGACAGACGGACAAAGGUCUUUUUACAACUACUGCAAAUAAAAGACUUCUUUCCGGUAUGGAUUUGUUGGUGGCGAGCAAGAUCCGUGCGCUGGGCAAAGGUUUUUUUACAUUCAUUACAUGAAAAGGGCUUCUCUCCAGUAUGAGUUUUCUGAUGUUUAUUAAGAUUUGAGAUGCUUUUAAAGGAUUUCUCACAAACAUCACACUUGUGGGGUUUCUCUCCUGUAUGAGUUCUUUGAUGUAGAAUAAAUUUGGAGUACGGAUUGAAUUCCUUUUUGCAAUAAUUACAUGUAUAAUAUUUCUUUCUAGUAUGAAUUAAUAGAUGUUGAGUUUUUUCUGAGAAACGGUGAAAGGUUUUUCCACAAAAGUUACAGGAAAAGGGCUUCCUUUGAGUAUGAGUUUUUUGAUGCCGAGUCAGGUUUACUCUGUUGCCAACAUGAAAUCUCUGAUGUAUAGAGAGGGAUGAGAGAAACCUAAAGGCCUUUUGACAUACAUCACAUUUGUAUGGCUUCAGUCCACUGUGCAUGCUCUGAUGUUGAAUAACCUUUGAAGGUCUGUUAAAAGUUUCACCACAUUGGUUACAUUCAAAGUGUUUAUAUAGUGUACAUAUUCUCUGGAGCAUUGUAAAUGAUGAGCGAUGCCUAAAGCCCCUUGUAUUUUCACCAUAUUCGUGGGUUUCCCCUACCUUAUGGAUUUUCUGAUGUCCAGUAAGUUGUGACACAUGCCCAAAAGCCAUGCCACAGUCAUCACAUUCAUAAUGCUGGACAAAAGUACGAUGUGUUCGGUAUUCUCCAUGGUGAAAGCUUUGUCUGAAGGCAUUCCCAGAUUCAUUGAGGGCACGAAACGUUGCCAAUGCUGGUUGACAUGCUAGUAGGAAAACAAUAUGAGAAAAAAAAUCAGAACUGGACACUGCAACAUACAUCAAGUUAAUUAGGAAAGCGAGGGAAAGAAGAGUGCAGUGACUGGAGACUUUAGAGGGGUAGGAUGAGAAGUAGGAGUUUGUGGAGGUGGAGAGGCAGAGAAUUGUUUCUCCACGUACAAGAAUGAUUUAAGUGAUCAACAGUGGCCAUUGAAUUUUUUUCUAUUUCUUUAAACUUGAAAUAAUUAUACUUGUGAUUGUAAAAAUGGCUGAAUGAAAUUUUAAUAACCAAAACAGAAAAGCUUAAAGAACCUAAAAAGAAUCACGUGAAAUCCUAAGCAUGGAUUAAAGUUUUGUUUCCAUUAAGGCCCUUUAAAAUAUUUCUGUGUGGUAUAGCAAUUUGUGAAAGUGAUUACACUUUAAAUAUUUUCCUUUGAACAUCAGAAUUGGGGAUACUUAUGAGUAAAUACACAUCUGUCUUAUCAAUUUGAUAUUGAAUGUUUUACUGUGCGACAGGGUCAUUAUUGAUUGGGCCGAUGCUCUAUUUGGAUAUUUGAGUUGUACUUAUUUUUGUUGUUGCUAAGAACAUUAAGAACAAUCUUAAAUCUACAUCUUUGUUAAUUUGAAAUAUAUUCUAGUAUCGAUUCUUAGAAAUGAGAGUUCCCAAUUAUAUUUUUGGUAUAUACAUGCACUGCACUGAAGUUCUUAUAUUGCAUGAACACACCAUUAUUUUCCAGUAUCUUGAUAACCCUAGACUAUCAAA